rnacentral:rRNA from 1 species
UACGUAGGUGGCGAGCGUUGUCCGGAUUUACUGGGCGUAAAGAGCGCGCAGGCGGUCGAAUAAGUCGAAUGUGAAAGCCCCCGGCUUAACUGGGGAGGGUCAUUCGAUACUGCUCGACUUGAAGGCAGGAGAGGGUAGUGGAAUUCCCGGUGUAGUGGUGAAAUGCGUAGAUAUCGGGAGGAACACCAAUUGCGAAGGCAGCUUACUAUGGUGUCAAUGACGCUGAGGCACGAAAGCGUGGGGAUCAAACAGG